GUCCGUGUGACGCGGCUCGGCUCGAGCUUUUUUAAAGUUACGGGUUGCGACCUAGAGAUUUUUCCUAGUUGCAAGAUUGGCUUUGUUUGAGCCGAUUCUUUUUACGCAACGCUCACUUGGGU
rnacentral:ncRNA from 1 species